GCCAUGACGAGCCGGGCCGGAAGAAGAGGUAGGGCGCCGCCGUGACAGAUUAGUCCUAAAGGGAACGGGGUUGUUAGUUCAAUUGGCUACCGGAAAAAACCAGGCUGGGCUGGGCGCCGCCAUGACAACCGAUACCGGAAAAGGCGGGUCGUUCCCCCCGGACAGCCCUACGCCGGCAAAGGUCUCGAGAUGCAGGCGGCCCUAGAGGUCACCGCUCGCUACUGUGGCCGGGAGCUGGAGCAGUAUGGCCAGUGUGUGGCGGCCAAGCCGGAAUCCUGGCAGCGGGACUGUCACUACCUUAAGAUGAGCAUUGCCCAGUGCACAUCCUCCCAGUGAGUGCGGCCCAAUCAUCCGCCAGAUCCGCCAGGCCUGUGCUCAGCCUUUUGAGGCCUUCGAGGAGUGUCUUCGACAGAACGAGGCAGCUGUGGGCAACUGUGCAGAGCAUAUGCGCCGCUUCCUGCAGUGCGCUGAGCAGGUGCAGCCGCCACGCUCACCUGCAACUGUGGAGGCACAGCCACUUCCUGCCUCCUGAGGACUCCUCUGACGGCAGGAAAACUGGACAUGAAUGACUGCCCCCACGCCCCUCCCCUGCAGAGUGGCCAGAUGGAGUCCUGAGCCCUGGACAUGGGCCCGGCUUUCCUGGAUAUCAGGACUUCCAAUAAAUAAAGACUCUGU
rnacentral:lncRNA from 1 species